ACACAUGCAAGUCGAACGAAGCUUGACGGAUGAUUUCUUCGGAAUGAAACCAGAUAUGACUUAGUGGCGGACGGGUGAGUAACACGUGAGCAACCUGCCUUUCAGAGGGGGAUAACGGCUGGAAACGGUCGCUAAUACCGCAUGAUGUGUUCGGAUGGCAUCAUUUGAACAUCAAAGAUUUAUCGCUGAAAGAUGGGCUCGCGUCUGAUUAGAUAGUUGGUGGGGUAACGGCCUACCAAGUCUACGAUCAGUAGCCGGACUGAGAGGUUGAGCGGCCACAUUGGGACUGAGAUACGGCCCAGACUCCUACGGGAGGCAGCAGUGGGGAAUAUUGCACAAUGGGGGAAACCCUGAUGCAGCAACGCCGCGUGAAGGAUGACGGUUUUCGGAUUGUAAACUUCUUUUCUUAGUGACGAAGACAGUGACGGUAGCUAAGGAAUAAGCAUCGGCUAACUACGUGCCAGCAGCCGCGGUAAUACGUAGGAUGCAAGCGUUAUCCGGAUUUACUGGGUGUAAAGGGAGCGCAGGCGGGACUGCAAGUUGGAUGUGAAAUACCGUGGCUUAACCACGGAACUGCAUCCAAAACUGUAGUUCUUGAGUGAAGUAGAGGCAAGCGGAAUUCCGAGUGUAGCGGUGAAAUGCGUAGAUAUUCGGAGGAACACCAGUGGCGAAGGCGGCUUGCUGGGCUUUAACUGACGCUGAGGCUCGAAAGUGUGGGGAGCAAACAGGAUUAGAUACCCUGGUAGUCCACACUGUAAACGAUGAUAGCUAGG
rnacentral:rRNA from 1 species